rnacentral:rRNA from 1 species
UACAGAGGGGGCAAGCGUUAUUCGGAAUCACUGGGCUUAAAGCGUGUGUAGGCGGAUCGUUAAGUACCUUGUGAAAUCCCACGGCUCAACCGUGGAACUGCUCGGUAUACUGGCGGUCUUGAGCCACCUAGGGGCAACUGGAACAAGCGGUGGAGCGGUGAAAUGCGUAGAUAUCGCUUGGAACGCCAACGGUGAAAACAGGUUGCUGGGGGUGUGCUGACGCUGAGACACGAAAGCCAGGGGAGCGAACGGG